GACGAACGCUGGCGGCGUGCUUAACACAUGCAAGUCGAACGGAAAGGCCCUGCUUGCAGGGUACUCGAGUGGCGAACGGGUGAGUAACACGUGGGUGAUCUGCCCUGCACUUCGGGAUAAGCCUGGGAAACUGGGUCUAAUACCGGAUAGGAGCCAUUUUUAGUGUGAUGGUUGGAAAGUUUUUUCGGUGUAGGAUGAGCUCGCGGCCUAUCAGCUUGUUGGUGGGGUAAUGGCCUACCAAGGCGGCGACGGGUAGCCGGCCUGAGAGGGUGGACGGCCACAUUGGGACUGAGAUACGGCCGAGACUCCUACGGGAGGCAGUAGUGGGGAAUAUUGCACAAUGGGCGCAAGCCUGAUGCAGCGACGCCGCGUGGGGGAUGACGGCCUUCGGGUUGUAAACUCCUUUCGCUAGGGACGAAGCUUUUUGUGACGGUACCUAGAUAAGAAGCACCGGCUAACUACGUG
rnacentral:rRNA from 1 species